UACGUAGGGUGCAAGCGUUAAUCGGAAUUACUGGGCGUAAAGCGUGCGCAGGCGGUUGUGCAAGACAGAUGUGAAAUCCCCGGGCUUAACCUGGGAACUGCAUUUGUGACUGGCGGGCUAGAGUAUGGCAGAGGGGGGUAGAAUUCCACGUGUAGCAGUGAAAUGCGUAGAGAUGUGGAGGAAUACCGAUGGCGAAGGCAGCCCCCUGGGCCAAUACUGACGCUCAUGCACGAAAGCGUGGGGAGCAAACAGGG
rnacentral:rRNA from 1 species